rnacentral:rRNA from 1 species
UGAGGAAUAUUGGUCAAUGGACGGAAGUCUGAACCAGCCAAGUAGCGUGCAGGAUGACGGCCCUAUGGGUUGUAAACUGCUUUUGUAUGGGGAUAAAGUUAGGGACGUGUCCCUAUUUGCAGGUACCAUACGAAUAAGGACCGGCUAAUUCCGUGCCAGCAGCCGCGGUAAUACGGAAGGUCCAGGCGUUAUCCGGAUUUAUUGGGUUUAAAGGGAGCGUAGGCUGGAGAUUAAGUGUGUUGUGAAAUGUAGACGCUCAACGUCUGAAUUGCAGCGCAUACUGGUUUCCUUGAGUACGCACAACGUUGGCGGAAUUCGUCGUGUAGCGGUGAAAUGCUUAGAUAUGACGAAGGACUCCGAUUGCGAAGGCAGCUGACGGGAGCGCAACUGACGCUUAAGCUCGAAGGUGCGGGUAUCAAACAGGAUUAGAUACCCUGGUAGUCCGCACAGUAAACGAUGGAUGCCCGCUGUUGGUACCUGGUAUCAGCGGCUAAGCGAAAGCAUUAAGCAUCCCACCUGGGGAGUACGCCGGCNCGGUG